GAACGCUGGCGGCGUGCUUAACACAUGCAAGUCGAGCGGAAAGGCCCUUCGGGGUACUCGAGCGGCGAACGGGUGAGUAACACGUGAGCAACCUGCCCUAGGCUUUGGGAUAACCCCGGGAAACCGGGGCUAAUACCGAAUAGGACCUCUGACCGCAUGGUUGGGGGUGGAAAGUUUUUCGGCCUGGGAUGGGCUCGCGGCCUAUCAGCUUGUUGGUGGGGUGAUGGCCUACCAAGGCGACGACGGGUAGCCGGCCUGAGAGGGCGACCGGCCACACUGGGACUGAGACACGGCCCAGACUCCUACGGGAGGCAGCAGUGGGGAAUAUUGCACAAUGGGCGGAAGCCUGAUGCAGCGACGCCGCGUGAGGGAUGACGGCCUUCGGGUUGUAAACCUCUUUCAGCAGGGACGAAGCGUAAGUGACGGUACCUGCAGAAGAAGCGCCGGCCAACUACGUGCCAGCAGCCGCGGUAAGACGUAGGGCGCGAGCGUUGUCCGGAUUUAUUGGGCGUAAAGAGCUCGUAGGCGGC
rnacentral:rRNA from 1 species